AUACGUUCUUGUUAAAAACUAACCAAAAUUUAAAAUAAUUAUAUAUCGGUAUCUGCAUCGGCUUUCGGCCAAAAUGAGUUAAAUUAUCGGCAUAUCGGAUAUCGGCAAAAAUCCAAUGUCGUGCAUCCCCAAUGUUAACUAAAACC